AAGCCGCCCUAGUUGACUUUGAAUAUAGAGAGAGUCGGUGACAGACAGAGAGUAAACCACGUUUUUGUCCUUUGUUAUAUAUCACUUCUUAGAUAUUAGCCAGGGCCUCUCCAAAUCCCAACAGACUUUUUAGGUCCCUUGUGCUCCUCCUCCACACGUGUAUUCCUUUUUCUAAAUUCUUUAGGCAUAUUACUACUCCACAGCUUAUUUUCUUUUUUUCUAUUUUCAGUUUAAACCAAUUAUGAUAUCUGUUAUACAUACUCUCACACAAUCUCUAUUG